rnacentral:rRNA from 1 species
CCUACGGGUGGCAGCAGUGGGGAAUUUUGGACAAUGGGCGCAAGCCUGAUCCAGCAAUGCCGCGUGAGUGAAGAAGGCCUUCGGGUUGUAAAGCUCUUUUGUCAGGGAAGAAACGGCCUGGGCUAAUAUCCUGGGCUAAUGACGGUACCUGAAGAAUAAGCACCGGCUAACUACGUGCCAGCAGCCGCGGUAAUACGUAGGGUGCAAGCGUUAAUCGGAAUUACUGGGCGUAAAGCGUGCGCAGGCGGUUUUGUAAGUCUGACGUGAAAGCCCCG